AUCGCUUCUCAGCCUUUUGGCUAAGAUCAAGUGUAGCUGUAAAAAUUCUCGCUGUUAAAAUUGAUAUUAUAUAAAAGGUGGCACCUUAUGACAGUUCAUUAACAUGUACAUUUGUUGCCUGUGGUUCUGUUUUGAUACCUACCAGCACUAAAGCAAAAUUUUU
ensembl:snRNA U2 U2 spliceosomal RNA